rnacentral:rRNA from 1 species
ACUCAAAGGAAUUGACGGGGGCCCGCACAAGCGGUGGAUCAUGUGGUUUAAUUCGAAGCAACGCGAAGAACCUUACCUGGAUUUGACAUCCUCUGACAAUCCUAGAAAUAGGACUUCUGUAGCAAUACAGCAGAGAGACAGGUGCUGCAUGGCUGUCGUCAGCUCGUGUGGUGACAUGUUGGGUUAAGUCCCGCAACGAGCGCAACCCUUGUCUUUAGUUGCCAGCAUUCAGUUGGGCUCUCUAAAGAGACUGCCGUGGUUAACACGGAGGAAGGUGGGGAUGACGUCAAGUCCUCAUGGCCUUUAUAUCCAGGGCGACACACGUGAUACAAUGGACGGUACAGAGGGAUGCCAAGAAGCAAUUCGGAGCUAAUCUCAAAAAACCGUUCUCAGUUCGGAUUGGAGUCUGCAACUCGACUCCAUGAAGCUGGAAUCGCUAGUAAUCGCGGAUCAGCACGCCGCGGUGAAUACGUUCCCGGGCCUUGUACACACCGCCCGU